rnacentral:rRNA from 1 species
UACGGAGGGUGCAAACGUUGCUCGGAAUCACUGGGCGUAAAGCGCACGUAGGCGGACUCGUAGGUCAGUUGUGAAAUACCUGGGCUCAACCCGGGAACUGCAGCUGAAACCGCUUGUCUUGAAUACCUGAGAGGGUGGGGGAAUACCUGGUGGAGAAGUGAAAUUCGUAGAGAUCAGGUGGAACACCGGAGGCGAAGGCGCCUGCCUGGCAGUGUAUUGACGCUGAGGUGCGAAAGUGCGGGGAGCAAACAGG